GUUUCUUGGGAGUCAUUCCCCCGCCUAUAAAUCAGGCAUGGGCAAACUUGGGCCCUCCGUGUGUUUUGGACUUCAACUCCCACAAUUCCUAACAGCCUACCGGCUGUUAGGAAUUGUGGGAGUUGAAGUCCAAAACUCACGGAGGGCCCAAGUUUGCCCAUACCUGUUAUAAAUGCAGGCCGGGCAGGAGGGCUGCACAGCGCACCAUAGAAUGAAGGCAGUUGGGCUGCACAGCGCAAGGCCGCGGAAUCCUGGGAGUUGGAUCUUGCCCUCAUCCGAUCUCCAUUUCUGUACUUCUCCAAGGUCAAAGUUCCACCACUGGAGGAGAGAUCAUCAACCCAGAAACAUCCACAGUCACUGGGAGUGAUCAGGGUCCAACAAUGGAUCCUUCCGUUCAAGGCUGAAGUGAUCUCUGAGUCAAGGUGUCUCUGUGGCCCCUGAGUAAUGGUUUUGUGGACCACAAGAUUAUAACUGAAAACAAGUGAAGUUCAUUCUGAAACUCAAGGUAGAUUUGAGAGCACAAGUUAGAAAGGGCGGCAAGAAUAAUUUCCAUUUUUGUUUUUGCAGUUCCCUGUCUAAUUGGGUUAUAAUUUGUUUUUAAACCUUUAAACAUGUAAUGCAUAUAUUCAAUAAUCAAGUAUGCUUCAUAUUUCUAUAAUCCCGGAGAUUUAGUCAUUUUUGUGAAGCACAGUUGAAACUGUUGUUGCCUCUUGGCUACAGUAGGAAUCCCUAAAGGUCUAAAAAAGUGUGUGUCUUUGUUUAACACUCCUAGAAUAUACAACAUGACCAUAUUUGAUUGCUUCUGCACCAAGAGUUUAAUUUGAAAUUGCCAUCCUCCCUGUCAUCACUUAUAGAGAAAUCAAAUAAAAUUGUUGCCAAAUUAUAGGCUUUACAGAA